UACGAAGGGGGCUAGCGUUGCUCGGAAUUACUGGGCGUAAAGCGCGCGUAGGCGGUCUUCCAAGUCGGGCGUGAAAGCCUCGGGCUCAACCCGGGAAUUGCGUUCGAUACUUGCGGACUUGAGGUCGGGAGAGGGUAGUGGAAUUCCCAGUGUAGAGGUGAAAUUCGUAGAUAUUGGGAAGAACACCAGUGGCGAAGGCGGCUACCUGGCCCGAAUCUGACGCUGAGGCGCGAAAGCGUGGGGAGCAAACAGG
rnacentral:rRNA from 1 species